rnacentral:sRNA from 1 species
UAAACCUAUUUUUUGAGAUCUGUUUUUAAGCCUUUCAUAUUUAUGCCACAUAUUUCACAACUAUUGGAUACCAGUUCACCAACAUUUGAACUUGAAGAUCUAGUUAAAAAGAAAUCACAUUUUAAGCCUGACAGAAGACACCCACUCUACCAAAAACAUGAACAGGCAUUGGAAGUAGUAAAUAAUAAUGAGGAAAAAGCCAAAAUAAUGUUGGACAACAUGAGGAAACUGGAGAAAGGACUAUUCAGAGAGAUGGAAUCAAUCCUUCAAAACAAGCAUCUUGAUGUGGAGAAAAUUGUUAAUCUCUUUCCUCAGUGUACAAAAGAUGAAAUUCAAAUUUAUCAGUCAAAUUUAUCAGUCAAAGUUAGUUCUUAGUGAUCAUAUGGUCAGCUAGUAUUAGUUCUUAGUGAUCAGUGGUCAGUAAUCUUCAAAGUCAGAAUCUAUCACCUUGGUAAAUUAUAUAAACCUAAUUUGAGCAGGUCUGAUUAUUCUUGGAUAGUAUUCAAGUGGUAUCU